CUGGGGUUUCUCUAACUCCCUUAGCGAGCCCGGACCGUCCGCUUCCAAGUCGGAAGGGCUUCGACGGCCGGGGCGGCGAGGCCCGCAGGCGGCGGGCGGGAUGAGCGCGGCGCGCGGUGGAGCGGUGCGGACGCUGCGGGUGCCCGGCCGCCACGGCUACGCCGCCGAGUUCUCCCCGUACCUGCCGGGCCGCCUGGCCUGCGCCGCCGCGCAGCACUACGGCAUCGCGGGCUGUGGAACCCUGCUAAUAUUGGAUCAAAAUGAAUCUGGGCUUACGCUUUUUAGAAGCUUCGACUGGAACGAUGGUUUGUUUGACGUGACCUGGAGUGAGAACAAUGAGCACGUGCUGGUCACCUGUAGUGGUGAUGGCUCGUUACAGCUCUGGGACACCGCCCGAGCUGCAGGGCCACUGCAGGUCUAUAAGGAACACACUCAGGAGGUGUACAGUGUUGACUGGAGCCAAACCAGAGGUGAACAGCUUGUGGUGUCUGGCUCAUGGGAUCAAACUGUCAAACUGUGGGAUCCAACUGUUGGGAAGUCUCUGUGCACCUUUAGAGGCCAUGAAAGUGUCAUUUAUAGCACGAUCUGGUCUCCUCACAUUCCUGGUUGCUUUGCUUCAGCCUCAGGCGAUCAGACUUUGAGAAUUUGGGACGUGAAGACAACAGGAGUCAGAAUUGUGGUUCCAGCACAUCAGGCAGAAAUUUUGAGCUGUGACUGGUGUAAAUACAAUGAGAAUUUGCUGGUGACAGGGGCAGUUGAUUGUAGUUUGAGAGGCUGGGACUUAAGGAAUGUACGACAACCAGUAUUUGAACUUCUUGGUCACAGCUAUGCUAUUAGGAGAGUGAAAUUUUCACCAUUUCAUGCUUCCGUGCUGGCCUCUUGCUCCUAUGAUUUUACUGUAAGAUUCUGGAACUUUUCAAAGCCUAACCCUCUUCUUGAAACAGUGGAACAUCAUACAGAAUUUACUUGUGGUUUAGAUUUAAGUCUUCAGAGUCCUACUCAGUUACUUCCUCCACUGAAGUCUUCAACCCUUCAAAAUCACCUAUGAGGGCUGGAAUCAGCGUCUUCUAUACGCCUGUUUUGUUGAUAUUUUGACCUUUUCCUGUGAAUCAUGGAUGUUCUUAAUGGUGGCUGACUGUGCUUGGGAUGAAACGAUAAAGAUAUAUGAUCCUGUCUGUCUUACCAUGCCUGUUUGAGAUAAACUACUCCAUUCAGAAACAAAGGAUAUUCACUGAAGAACUGCUUCACAGGAAAUAAAUUAUUGAUAACAUAGAUUUUAUGUUUUUAUAUACUACUCAGAUUUCAAAUUUUAAAAUUUAUUCUGGAAUCAGUUUUGAGGUAGAUGAUAAAAACUUUGGCUCACUAUUUAAGCCUGGUGCAUAAGCCAUAUUUCUUAAAAUCCUAAGGAAUAAUUGAAGUUAUGGCAUAUCUUGUAGUAUCUAUUAAAGUAUAACCUCUGUAUUAUAAAAUGGAUUAAAAUAUGGGAGAUCUGUAGAUUAUAUUGAUAGUGAUAUAUUUUAUUUUUAAUUUGUCAUUUUGGAUUAAAAUAUAAUCACUGCUGUUGAUAAACAUCUCAGUAAACUGCA